AACGAACGCUGGCGGCAGGCUUAACACAUGCAAGUCGAACGCAUCGCAAGAUGAGUGGCAGACGGGUGAGUAACGCGUGGGAACAUACCCUUUUCUACGGAAUAGCUCUGGGAAACUGGAAUUAAUACCGUAUACGCCCUACGGGGGAAAGAUUUAUCGGGGAAGGAUUGGCCCGCGUUGGAUUAGCUAGUUGGCGGGGUAAAGGCCUACCAAGGCGACGAUCCAUAGCUGGUCUGAGAGGAUGAUCAGCCACAUUGGGACUGAGACACGGCCCAAACUCCUACGGGAGGCAGCAGUGGGGAAUAUUGGACAAUGGGCGCAAGCCUGAUCCAGCCAUGCCGCGUGAGUGAUGAAGGCUUUAGGGUUGUAAAGCUCUUUCACCGAUGAAGAUAAUGACGGUAGUCGGAGAAGAAGCCCCGGCUAACUCCGUGCCAGCCGCCGCGGUAAGAC
rnacentral:rRNA from 1 species